GCUGUUCUGUGAUAUAUUGCCCACUGAUUAACAGAUUAGCACACAGGGGGUCGCUGUAACACCUGUGAGACCUAUUCCAUUUGUCUGCGACACAAAGCGUCUUUCCUUUCAUCUGCCGUUUCCUAUAACUCUUCUCCUCAGGCAUUGUCAGAAAAAGUUCAAGGGCUCUUGCAGGCAGAAAAGAGACACAAGCAUACAGCUAACACAACUGCUAAGCUAUUGCAAAAGCAGAAAUAUAAUAUUUCUAAAGGCAUCCCUUCCAAAGCAAACUUGCCUUUGCUCUUCUGUGCAUGAGGGAAAAGAAAAGGACACAGCUAUGGAUGUGGAAAAAGGCAGAUUUUGCAGGACUAUUAAACAACAAAUCGUUAAAACGGUCAUGCCGCUCUCUUUCUCCUUCGUGGUUUUGAUAAUUUUUUGUUCAAAAACGACACAUGCAGACUCAGUAAUUCAGCCCGAAGGCACCGUUACCAUCCAUGAAGGAAAACCUGUGCUUCUUUAUUGCACCUAUGAUUACUCUGGGUCUCCUGUACUCUACUGGUACGAGCAGUAUCCCCAUGAAGCCCCUCGCCUGUUGCUGUCGCAAUACGAAGCCUCGGACGAGGAGGAGAAGAGACGCAGACGAGGGUUCUCUGCUAAACUGGAGAAAGACUCCAAAUCCUUCCACCUGGAGAAAAAGUCCAGCGAAAUGAGCGACUCUGCUGUCUAUUACUGCGCCAUGAUUGACACAGUGAGCAAAGCCGCCGGGGAGCUGCACAAAAACCCCACUUACUGAGGGCAUGGCUACACU